rnacentral:tRNA from 2 species
UACCCUAUAAUUCAAUGGUAGAAUGAUAUACUUCUAAUAUAUCCAUAUAGGUUCGAUUCCUAUUAGGGUAU